CGUUAACAAUUGACAACGAAAUGCGACGAGUCGUCUGUCUGGGUAAGUCCACGUAGAAAGUCUGUCAAUAAAUAUAAAAUAAUCUUAAUUUCAUCAAAGAUACACUAUAGAUACUCUUUCAAAUGCAGAUACUAAACGAUAACGUUUUUUGUCAAAAGGUUUAAAUAUAAAAUAAUCUUAAUUUCAUCAAAGAUACACGUACACUAUACUCUUUCAAAUGCAGAUACUAAACGAUAAUAUUUUUUGUCAAAAGGUUUAGCUAGCUAUCGAACGAAAAAGCGAUGGUGCGUAAUAGCUUGAGAGGAUCACUCUUCCUUCUCUAGCAUGAUUUUAUUUUUAAAUGUCACCGUAUUCUAGCAUCAACAUAACGAAAAAACUUCUUGCUGUAAUAGUUGCUUGCCUAUCGAGCGGUCUAUGUUAGUUCGGCCUGUAUUAUAUAAUAUCUUUCUAUUACGCGGUGACCUAAUCGAAAGGAAUCGAUGUCUUAGUCAAACACACUUAACCCUGACGCUAAGAAUUACUCGUUGGAUAAACCAUCCGCCGUAUUACCGCGUCGAUCUCGACCCCUGCGGUUCUCCCAACGAAUUAAUCAUCUCCCCGAGAAAGGUGCUUGCGAAAGUUUGACCCAGAUCGAUCUCCCGGAUCGGAGAACGAAGCUUGUAUAUUACAGGAAACACGUGAUUGCGUACAUUACCGGAUGUUUGUUAUCUUCUCGUUUCCAGCAUCUAAUUAAUCAAACGACUUAAUAUUGAGAUUAAAAAUCAAAAUUUCUUCUCAUCAAUAUGUUAAUCUGGAGAUUUGCUUUGGAUGUAGCAUUAUCAGCGUUGAGCAGUUGUCGGUCGACUUGUUCAAAAUUGCGUUCGUCUAUUAAAGGAGUAUAAUAAGCGCAUCCCUUCGUUCGGUCAGUGUAUACUCAUUAAAAACAAACUUGCUCCCGUCGUGGAUCAAAUGCAAAUUUGUUAAUUAAAAACUUCGCUACGAGGCGGAAAAUGUCAUUUUCGGUUAUUCGUCAUUCUCUCUGCCUUUCCCAUUCUUUUCUUUUAUCAGCGGCACUCGUGAAAAUAUACCUGAAAUAAGCGUUUCCCUCACAGUCGGUGUGCAUACUAAGUGUGUCGUAAAGUUUACAUUUAAAUUGGAAAUUCUUCUGCGGACGAUCGCGUGUUUAAGCAUGUACGGCAGGAAUUACGCGCUCUCUUCAUAUCAAUUUAUUAUGGUCUAUUAACAAGUCUAGCGCUAUGAAACGUAAAGAAUUUUACGACCACACGGCACUUAAAUUAAAAGCCUGAAAAAUUGAAGAUACAUGGGCGUAAUAUUUUUGAAAAAUAUUAUAACAAUUUUUCAGAAUUUGCAGCGCGAAAUCAAUACAUUGAAUUACGUACGUAUAUUAGCACUUUUUCCUUUCUUUCUUUUUCCUUCUUUUCGUAAAGUUUCGAGACUUUGGAAAUAAGCGGCUCAUAUAUUAAUGAUUUAAUAUGAUAGCUUAAAGUAUUUUGCAGCUAUAGGUCUCUUAAACUAUGUGAUAAAAGUUCCCUUUGUUCGAGAUUGCGAAAAUUCAGUAAAAUGUGUCGAUGGAGAAAUAUAUUAAAAAUGUAGCACACAGGGUGUGUGUGUGUGUGUUCACGUUUACAGUUCAAAGGCAUUUCAUGUCGCUGGUCGUAGAUGGCGGGAAUACGCGAAUAUUGAACAGAUUUCAUCGAUAAGCCAUCCGAUCAUUUUUUGCCAUUAUAUCGAAUAAAACUAAAUUACAAAAUAUAAUAAAAUAUGGUAACAAACUGCAAAAUAUCAAAAUUGGUACACUGAAAAAUCAAUCGGAAAGAAUGUUUAAUGCUUAAAUUAAUUUAUUUUAACGCGAAUUAAAGUUUUAGGAAUUAAAAAAUAUUCAUAAUUCCUUAAAUCUCUUGAGAGCUAAAGAAGAAUUACGGUAGCGAUAAUAACGGUUAACGACCUGUCUCGCUGUAGCAGUUAAAAUGUUGAACUCGGUGAUGUCCCGCUUCCAAAAAUAAUUCCAUUAGGUGAUCGAGUUUGUGCCGGGAACGGAGUAUCAAGAGUGACGGAUCGCCUUUUAGCGCGGAAAGGGCGAGACGUUCUCAGGACUCGCUAAAGUAAUUAUGUCCUUUUGCGGGCUCGCUCCACCCUGUCGAAGGAGUCUCACAACGGAAACGCUUUAGCCACCCGGGGAUGAUCGCAAAGAUGACGAUUGACGUUCAAUAAAUAUGCUAAUAUUUCCGCCGUAUUGCCGGAAAUUAUGUGUCCUUCCGUGGCAUCUUGCCCAAUCCGAGUAAAACGAUCGUUGAUCCUCAGCUGCGGAGAAUUUAUUGCGAUGGAGAAUUCUAUAGUCUCGUCACGUCAGACCGAUGUGCUAGGAAAGUCGAAAUUUCCAUCCGUAUCUUUUGAAUCUUUUCAAUUACGAUUUACAGUCUUUAACAAAUAAAAAGAACGUGUUCAAUUUCUAGGAAAAUUACAUGCUUGCUAAUUAUAUGAGCUUUGUGUACCGUAUUGCUGAGAUUAGUCGGUUUAGGGACCAAGGAUCCAAGGAUCUCUGAUGCGGCCACGCGGGUUCUCUUGACUUCCUCGUUCGCUACGUAUGAGUCGCAGCAAUGUAAACUGCAGGUCGUUAGCUAAAAUAACUACGGCACGGUAUCUGCAUCACAUACAUACGUACGUAUUCUACAUCUGUAUUCCGUACAUAGCCGCAGUGUGACGGGAAACAAAGCGAAAUUACAGUGAGAGAAGCGGAGGAUAUGAGGACUAUCCAGCAUGGUGGCAUCUCGGGGUGUAGGACGUCAUCAUGCUGUAAACAAUGUUAUUUCGAUGUAGCCUCAACCGCUGGUGCAACUAUUCUUCGCGUGUUUCAUCGAAGUCCGGCUUUUUGAGGUGAAAUCGCUACACUAGCUGCGCGGCGAUUUGGCACAAAACAAAUUGCGGAAAAAAUUCCGCGAGUGCUUUCGAACAAAGUUCGGGAAUCAAAAUUGACUUUUCUAAAGCGUUAAAGUGUCUGAAGCGUAAAACAAGAAAAAAUUGUGCGCGCACCGUGGUCUGAUGUUUCGCGCGACGCUGUCAAAAUGCUGACGGCGGAACAAAAACGCUUGGCUUUGUACAACGAGUGGCCUUUCAGCGUCGUGAGCGUAAUUUCUUUUUUUUCACGUGGAAAGAACGGCUGUUUUGUAUGUGUGUGUCUUGCGCUAUCGGCAAACAAAAAGUAACAAGAAGAAUUAAUUAUUAAUCCCGUCGUAUACGCCGCUCGAAAAGCUCGGCGAAGCGGCGCGCGCUGUCGAUUAAUAAUUGCGCAAAGAAUGCCGAAUAUAUAAUUCAUGACAUCCAUAUUCAACGCCGGUAAAAUUAGUUUACCGUGGUGUAGCUUUGCCGCCUUUCGACGAGCGAUUAAUUAAUGAUAAUCAAUUGCUACUAAAUGACCGAACGCCACUGACAAUUGCAUUGCCAAUUAUAUUCUGAUAUCACGAAGAGAGAGGCGAAAAACGUUUUUUGCAACACAUAUGUACUAGAUUGCAUAUAAUCAUUUCAUGUUUUAGUGUUUUUAAUAAUAUAGAUUGCAAUAUAUAUUCAUUAUUAAAAACACUAAACAAACGGAAUAAAUUUAUCUUACAACUCAAUACAUAUAUUUCACGUGUAUGUUAAGCGGGCAUCUCACACGUCCGAGUUAAACAGAUUUUGUCGACGGAAACACGUUUCUCCGUUCGCUUGAAAAUCUUGUCGAGAAACGCGCGCGUCGUAAGAAUGCAUCCCCUCGCGAUAAAACUAUCGAAUUCUCGUUUGGCUCCGAUCUUUCAAUCCUGCAGCUGCAAAAACCGAUGCAGCAUCACGUCGACCGGCAGAGAGCCGUGUAAAUCCCAGAUUCUAACGGACAUGUUAACCACCUAGGCACGUCAAUCCGUCAAAAGUAACGACGGCGACCGUACGAUCGACAGCGAGUCUUGACGAUGUAUGUCGCGACGAGAAAGAUGCAUGGAGCAAUACAUGCAAUGAUGAAAAUAAUCUUUUUUAACACCAGGUAGUCACGCUGCAAUGUUGGUAAUUCUAGAACCCGUUAUACAAUAUAAGGAUAAAUAAUAUGCAUUCGCGAUGCAACGAGUCCACGGGGACAAUAUCCAUUUAAGACACCUCCAACUCAGACCGACAAUAAUAUGCCAACCAUAUGGAAAUAAUGAAAGUAACGAAGCCAAACGGUUUCCGCUUGCUGCAGCGCUGCUGCAAGCAGAACUCUAGGGCUCCCGGCAAGAUAAUUCCGAUCACACUUCAACAUCCCCAAGCCUCUCGUAAUCCGGCUUGUCCUCACCUUCUCCCACGCGUAUUUCGCAGCCUGCUGUCGCGUUGCGGUGCUAUUAUACGUCGGGGACCUCACCCCAGCGGCGCGCGUGCAUUUCCUGCAGCGCGUUCCGCAGCAUAUCGCGACUCCUUUAUUACUUUACGGACCGCUGCAUCCACCCUACUGCACCCGCGGGGUCGUCGUCGAGGAGGUGCGCGCGCGCGUGCUUUCACGUACUCACCCUCGUGGUGCCGCCGUCGGUGUACCGUUCACCUUGGCAUCCGUAGAAUGGACGCUUUGCCUCGGUGAGGUUCCGGGAAUUCCGGACGAUUCGACAGCGAGCGGGAGUCGGUCGGAUCCUUCCGUUACAGUAAUUAUUCCUCGGACGAUAUAUGACGCGCCGUCUCGACAACGGCCGUUCUCCACCGUGAAAUUGCGCCGUUGUUAUUUCGAUUUGUCGUCAUCGCAUUCCUACGUCCGAUGCGGAUGCCCAACGUCUUUACGAGAAAUGUCGAGCGCCGACCGAGGUUCGAUGGUCUUAAGGAUGAAUCCACAAUUCUACCGUCAGGAAUACUUCGUGAACUGUAAGCUUUUAGACCUUUCGGUCGGGUGAAUAAAAGAAGAAUGAACCAGAAAGAUUUAUACGAAAGAAAAGAAGUCGAAAUGAAAAAAAUAUUAAUUCGCUAAACAUAAAUAGAAACUGUCUCUAUGUUUAAGGUAUUCUUCUGUCGCUAAUUGUGUCCGAUCGAAUUACUAUUGGAUCGCUUGGAUGGGUAUAAUAGGAAAGACGUUUUCUCGAUAAUUUCGCAGCAAAGAACAGUGACAUUAUGGGUCAGCGAGUGAAUUCCUAAUUCGGAGCGGAUCGACGAGGACUAGUUAUGAAUGUCGAUGCAAUUGUUGUCGGCGACGGUGGCUUGAUGGUGGUUGGAAGUACCCCCACGAGGAUUAAACUCAUAUCGAACUCGGCGCGACGGUAUUACGAGCGUGGCCAUUAUCGUAAACAUGCGGAUACCAAAUUGAUUUUAAAUCGGUAUUGCCGGGAACAUACACGAUAUUCUCCUUGAUCUUAAAGAGCGUAACCACAUUGUUCAGAUAUUGGUAUUUCAAACUCUUUUCUGGAAGGCAAAAAAUACUUUGAAUGUCCAUGUUUCUUUAGUAUUAUAUAUAUAAUUAUAUAAGAUAAUUGCAAUUUUUUCAACACAUAUAACUAAUUGAAUGUAUCUUUCUUUAUCGGUUCGAUAAAUAAAAUAAUAAAUAAAACUAUUAGUAGGACUUUUAGAACCUUUACUUAAAGUCGUCUCAAACCGCUCAUUGAGCAAAGUCACGUAAUACGCCAAAGAAUUAUGCAAAUCACUGUCGAUGUCUGCAUACCGAAUGUGUAACGUCAAAAUUGCGUUUAUUUUUGCAGAACGGUUAAUUGAAUCACUUGUCGAGAGGUAAAACGUCCGCACGAGAACUCAUUCGGCCGCGUCGCUUCGCGACAUGAAACUUUCCGCGUCCGCGACAGAUUGGCGUUGCUCAAGGGACACGAAAAGGAUGAUUAUCCUUUACUAGGCGGAAUUCCGUUAUUAGAUUAAAGUGUAGCGGUCACGAGUGUCAUUAACGUCGCCAAUUAGCGUGGGCUCUUGUCGUCUUUGCGCGCGGCGCAGCAUUUUAUUCGAUCCCGCGGGAUCUGUAUUCGCCACGGCGGUAAAACAACGCAAAGCAAUGUUUUACCGUUUUACGCGAAAUGCCACCCUCGUGGUGGCUUUAUAUUACUUCGGGGAUGUGGGAGGGUCCAAAGGCGUGUUGCAGCCAGGUCUUGCUAAAUCCGCGUAUAAUAUCCACAAUGCGCGUGGCGGAAAUCACGUUUACCAGACGACAGAGGCAUGAUUUCACACAUCGCCGAGACGCACGAGAAUUUUAUUAUACUCAAUACUUUAAGAGACGUAUGCGAUUUUCUCAGCGUAUUAUGGCAAUACCCCUUCCAUGUUAUUUCCUAAUCCGACGCAAGUUUGAAUUGACGCCAGCUGGUGAAAAUAAUAUUCUUUCGUAAUUCCGGCUUCUCCACAAAUUGGCUCCGCUGAUUACCACGUUUUUCAGGUAUAUACCUUGUAUUCCGCGCGCAUAUCUGACCCCGUAUUAAGGUUUUUAUCUUGCUUUAUCCCGGUUGUAAAUGGAGAUGUGUUCUUUCACGGGUGCCAUUGCCGUCGCUAGUUGUCAUUAACGCCGCGAUUAUACGUGUUCAUCCCGAGAGAAUCAUACUGGUCCCUCCACUCUCCGGGAUUAUUUAACGCACAAAACGCUGACUCUGAAUAUCUCGAAAUGAAGACCUCAUGAGCGACUCGUGUAAUCUUUAGUAUUCCAAGUGUCAAGAAGUUUCUCGCAUUACGAACGAAGUACAGAGUUUGGCAACGCCCGGAGCAUCGUUAUUGUCGUUGAUAACGCGGACUCUAGCAACUAUAUUUUAACGACUAGCAGUGAAUUACUUGUAAUUUAGUAAAUAUAUAUUGUAACAAGAAAAAA